CUCGACAAAGGCAAAGCUGACGAAAGCCAGCGACGCAAAGCUAGAGGGGCUUCCUUGUCCUGAAAGGGGUAAGUUGCCAGCCAGCCGCCGAAC
rnacentral:ncRNA from 1 species